rnacentral:rRNA from 1 species
GACGUAGGGCGCAAGCGUUGUCCGGAUUUAUUGGGCGUAAAGAGCUCGUAGGCGGCUUGUCGCGUCGACUGUGAAAACCCGUGGCUCAACCAUGUGGUCUGCAGUCGAUACGGGCAGGCUAGAAUUCGGUAGGGGAGACUGGAAUUCCUGGUGUAGCGGUGAAAUGCGCAGAUAUCAGGAGGAACACCGGUGGCGAAGGCGGCUACCUGGACAGAAACUGACGCUGAGGCGCGAAAGCUAGGGGAGCAAACGGG